rnacentral:rRNA from 1 species
GAUGAACGCUGGCGGCGUGCCUAAUACAUGCAAGUCGAGCGAACGGACGAGAAGCUUGCUUCUCUGAUGUUAGCGGCGGACGGGUGCGUAACACGUGGAUAACCUACCUAUAAGACUGGGAUAACUUCGGGAAACCGGAGCUAAUCCCGGAUAAUAUUUUGAACCGCAUGGUUCAAAAGUGAAAGACGGUCUUGCUGUCACUUAUAGAUGGAUCGGCGCUGCAUUAGCUAGUUGGUAAGGUAACGGCUUACCAAGGCAACGAUGCAUAGCCGACCUGACAGGGUGUACGGCGACACGGGAACUGAGACACGGUCCAGACUCCUACGGGAGGCAGCAGUAGGGAAUCUUCCGCAAUGGGCGAAAUCCUGACGGAGCAACGCCGCGUGAGUGAGGAAGGUCUUCGGAUCGUAAUACUCUGUUAUUAGGGAAGAACAUAUGUGUAAGUAACUGUGCACAUCGUGACGGUACCUAAUCAGAAAGCCACGGCUAACUACGUG